rnacentral:rRNA from 1 species
GACGAACGCUGGCGGCGUGCUUAACACAUGCAAGUCGAACGAGUGGCGAACGGGUGAGUAAUACGUGAGUAACCUGCCCUCUUUUUGGGAUAAGCCUUGGAAACGGGGACUAAUACCGGAUAAAGGGGGAUGGGCUCGCGGCAUAUCAGCUUGUUGGUGGGGUGAUGGCCUGACAAGGCGGUGCCGGGUAGCCGGCCUGAGAGGGUGCCCUGGAACAUUGGCACGGAGAUAACGCCCAGACGAGUAAGGGAGGGAGAAGUGGGGGAUAUGGCAGAAUGGGCGAAAGCCUGAUGCAGCGAGGCCGAGUGGGGGAUGAGGGCUUUCGGGUUGUAAACCUCUUUCGCUAGCGAACGGUUAGGUGGAGAAGAAGCGCCGGCUAACUACGUGCCAGCAGCCGCGGUAAUAC